UACGUAGGGGGCUAGCGUUGUCCGGAAUCAUCGGGCGUAAAGCGCGUGUAGGCGGUCCGGUAAGUCCGCUGUGAAAGUCGGGGGCUCAACCCUCGAAUGCCGGUGGAUACUGUCGGGCUAGAGUGCGGAAGAGGCGAGUGGAAUUCCUGGUGUAGCGGUGAAAUGCGCAGAUAUCAGGAGGAACACCAAUUGCGAAGGCAGCUCGCUGGGACGUAACUGACGCUGAGACGCGAAAGCGUGGGGAGCAAACAGG
rnacentral:rRNA from 1 species